GACGAACCGUCCGAACGUUAUUCGGAAUUAUUGGGCUUAAAGGGCGCGUAGGCGGCCGCCUAAGUCGAACGUGAAAUCCCCGGGCUCAACCCGGGAACUGCGUCCGAUACUGGGGGGCUUGAAUUCGGGAGAGGGAUGCGGAAUUCCAGGUGUAGCGGUGAAAUGCGUAGAUAUCUGGAGGAACACCGGUGGCGAAGGCG
rnacentral:rRNA from 1 species